UAAAUCUCUAAGAAACGUAAAUUAAAACAGAACAUAAAGAAAGUACACUUAUCGAAACAAUGUGGUAUAUGUUAAUCAUACUAAAAAUCCUCCUUUCCUCCUUUCUAAAAAAAGGCAUGUUAAAUCGAUACUCGCAUCUCUCGAAGUCUUCUCGAAAGUCUCGAAUUAUUGUUGACUCUUUUCCGCGAUGAUCUGAUUGGUUCUCUCGCUUAGCUCACUUCGUGCUGCGAGAGUUGUCAGCGCGGGGAUCAUAUGUUAUGUACAUGUAACGUGUGUGCCGCGCUAGGUUAUUAUAUACUUUUUCCAAAAUUUAUGUAGACUGCUAUUUACGAAGGAUGGUUCUGAAAAGUUUGCUAUUUAAAUUAUACAAAAGAAUAAUUUUAGCACGGAGAAUGGGAAUGUUUUUAAUAAUCCAGCAAAUGUCAAAAACAAAGUUGAAAUAUUAAGGAAGCUGAGUUCAUGAGAAACAUCCCUGUAUGAUUUAUUUGGUUGACAUCUAUGACAUGACUGAAGCCAUGAACAUCAUUUUUGAAUUAAUGGAAGGUGGUGAGCUCUUUGAUGAUAGAAUAAAAAGCAGAGGUAAACUGUCUGAACCAUGUGCAAAAAUGAUACUGACUCCCCAAAAAAGCGGUACUCUAAAAAUGUGGAAAAAAUUUUGCAUAUUUCAAAUGAUUAUAACUUCCGCAAUGCUCGUCUGAACGUAUAUGCCUCAGUUUCUUUAAUAUUUCAACUUUGUUCUUGACAUUCGCUGGAUUAUUGAAAACAUUCCCCUUCUCUGUGCAAGUAAAAUACAUAAACUGUAAUAUAAAAGAAUAAUUUUUAAAGUUAAGGCUAUCUUGGAAUUAUUUUCGAUGAUGACAUGUUUUCCGUGACCGACCAAGUUCUCAUCAACAAAUCUUCCAUCAAUAAUCUUCCAUCAUAACUUCUUUAAUAAUCAAAUAAUUAUUAUAGUAAUAAAGGAUUAUUUACCUUUGAAAAAUCUCGUUAAAUGUCACUAUCUUCUAAUAAACUUUUUAAACACA